UGGGGAAUUUUGGACAAUGGGCGAAAGCCUGAUCCAGCAAUGCCGCGUGUGUGAAGAAGGCCUUCGGGUUGUAAAGCACUUUUGUCCGGAAAGAAAUCCUUGGCUCUAAUACAGUCGGGGGAUGACGGUACCGGAAGAAUAAGCACCGGCUAACUACGUGCCAGCAGCCGCGGUAAUACGUAGGGUGCAAGCGUUAAUCGGAAUUACUGGGCGUAAAGCGUGCGCAGGCGGUUUGCUAAGACCGAUGUGAAAUCCCCGGGCUCAACCUGGGAACUGCAUUGGUGACUGGCAGGCUAGAGUAUGGCAGAGGGGGGUAGAAUUCCACGUGUAGCAGUGAAAUGCGUAGAGAUGUGGAGGAAUACCGAUGGCCGAAGGCAGCCCCCUGGGCCAAUACUGACGCUCAUGCACGAAAGCGUGGGGAGCAAACAGGAUUAGAUACCCCUGGUAGUCCACGCCCUAAACGAUGUCAACUAGUUGUUGGGGAUUCAUUUCCUUAGUAACGUAGCUAACGCGUGAAGUUGACCGCCUGGGGGAGUACGGUCGCAAGAUUAAAACUCAAAUGAAUUGAC
rnacentral:rRNA from 1 species